AUUGAACGCUGGCGGCAGGCCUAACACAUGCAAGUCGAGCGAGCGGCGGACGGGUGAGUAAUGUAUGGGGAUCUGCCCGAUAGAGGGGGAUAACUAAUGGAAACGGUGGCUAAUACCGCAUACUAUCGGAUGAACCCAUAGGGGAUUAGCUAGUAGGUGGGGGAAAGGCUAACCUAGACGUCGAUCUCUAACUGGUCUGAGAGGAUGAUCAGCCACACUGUGACUGAGACACGGUCCAGCCUCCUACGGGAGGCAGCAGUGGGGAAUAUUGCACGAUGGGCGCAAGCCUGAUGCAGCCAUGCCGCGUGUAUGAAGAGGGCUUUAGGGUUUGAAAGUACUUUCAGCGGGGAGGCGUUACCCGCAGAAGAAGCACCGGCUAACUCCGUGCCAGCAGCCGCGGUAAUUC
rnacentral:rRNA from 1 species